GCCGGCCCGGAGCCGGCACCCGGGCGGGACACAGCCGGGACACAGCCGGGACACGGCGUAAAGCUAACCGGGGAGAUCCCGUAGCGACGCGAGACGGUGUCAGGAGCAGCAGGGAAGCAACCGUUUGGACUUCCCAGAUUCUCUCCAUCAGUGCCUGAGUGAGAAGCUUCAUCCCUCCCAAGGCUGUUCAGGCCUUGGCCUUUUGCUGGAGAACAACUACUGAGAUUCCAAUGAAACACCUCUCUGAAGGAGCUGUGAGAUUCACACAUUUUCAGUGAAGAAGAAUCCUGGGCCAGGAAACCCUUCUCAUGCUGCAGGGUGGGGGAAUCUGCUGGUGGGGACAGUCCUACCACAACCAGCCAGGUUUGGGGAGGGUGCAGGUAACAGCGAGAAGAAAGGAUCCAAUGUCAUUUGGAAUACUAAGAAUCGCAUUUCUUUUUCUGGAGCAAAUUCACUCGUUUUGGAUGGGAUUCACUGAACAGAAUGCAAGUGGAUGAGAGCCAACAAAACAAAUUAUAUAAUUAAACAAGUAAUUAAUUAA